rnacentral:rRNA from 1 species
CCUACGGGAGGCAGCAGUGAGGAAUAUUGGUCAAUGGGCGAGAGCCUGAACCAGCCAAGUCGCGUGAGGGAAGACGGUCCUCUGGAUUGUAAACCUCUUUUGUCGGGGAGCACAAAGGCCUCGUGAGGCCACAAGUGAGAGUACCCGAAGAAAAAGCAUCGGCUAACUCCGUGCCAGCAGCCGCGGUAAUACGGAGGAUGCGAGCGUUAUCCGAUUUUAUUGGGGUAAAAGGGUGCGUAGGCGGACUGGAAAGCCAGCGGUAAAAUCGAGCGGCUAAACCUCUUUCCGCCGUUGAAACUGUCGGUCUUGAGUGGGCGAGAAGUAUGCGGAAUGCGAGGUGUAGCGGUGAAAUGCAUAGAUAUCACGAAGAACUCCGGUGGCGAAGGCGGCAUACCGGCGCCCGACUGACGCUGAGGAGCGAAAGCGUGGGUAUCGAACAGGAUUAGAUACCCCUGUAGUC